GACAGAGGAUGCAAGCGUUAUCCGGAAUGAUUGGGCGUAAAGCGUCUGUAGGUGGCUUUUUAAGUCCGCCGUCAAAUCCCAGGGCUCAACCCUGGACAGGCGGUGGAAACUACCAAGCUGGAGUACGGUAGGGGCAGAGGGAAUUUCCGGUGGAGCGGUGAAAUGCGUAGAGAUCGGAAAGAACACCAACGGCGAAAGCACUCUACUGGGCCAUGACUGACACUAAGAGACGAAAGCUAGGGGAGCGAAUGGG
rnacentral:rRNA from 1 species